UACAGGGGGGGCAAGCGUUGUUCGGAAUUACUGGGCGUAAAGGGCUCGUAGGCGGCCAACUAAGUCACACGUGAAAUCCCCAGGCUUAACCUGGGAACUGCGUGUGAUACUGGAUGGCUUGAAUUCGGGAGAGGGAUGCAGAAUUCCAGGUGUAGCGGUGAAAUGCGUAGAUAUCUGGAGGAACACCGGUGGCGAAGGCGGCAUCCUGGACCGAGACUGACGCUGAGACGCGAAAGCGUGGGGAGCGAACGAGG
rnacentral:rRNA from 1 species